AGGGUUAAUCUUCUGGCACUGAACAGCUGAUCGCAGAUUUAGUACCGGCUCCAGGUCCCCCCGAUGUCCCCAUACUCCAUCGAGCCUCCCUGGACUUCCGCUAGAUGGCGCGUCGCCCUCAGCCCUGGCCACCUAUCGUUCAGG